rnacentral:rRNA from 1 species
GAUGAACGCUGGCGGCGUGCCUAAUACAUGCAAGUCGAGCGAACAGAUGAGGAGCUUGCUCCUCUGACGUUAGCGGCGGACGGGUGAGUAACACGUGGAUAACCUACCUAUAAGACUGGGAUAACUUCGGGAAACCGGAGCUAAUACCGGAUAAUAUAUUGAACCGCAUGGUUCAAUAGUGAAAGACGGUUUUGCUGUCACUUUUAGAUGGAUCCGCGCCGCAUUAGCUAGUUGGUAAGGUAACGGCUUACCAAGGCAACGAUGCGUAGCCGACCUGAGAGGGUGAUCGGCCACACUGGAACUGAGACACGGUCCAGACUCCUACGGGAGGCAGCAGUAGGGAAUCUUCCGCAAUGGGCGAAAGCUUGACGGAGCAACGCCGCGUGAGUGAUGAAGGUCUUCGGAUCGUAAAACUCUGUUAUUAGGGAAGAACAAAUGUGUAAGUAACUAUGCACGUCUUGACGGUACCUAAUCAGAAAGCCACGGCUAACUACGUG